CUGAAAUGAUAGAUCGACGAGAAAAGCCUUGAGAGCUGAGAAUUCGUACAGAGAAUUUCGCAAAACUCAGAUCGAUAGAGAAGAAAGGGAAAAAAAAUAGCUGAAAGAUAAAUCUUUAUUUUUUUUUCUCUCCGUUUUUUAUCUUUCCUUAUAUAUUUCUUUUGCUAAAUCUUUGUAUUUCUCUCGCUCGUGUUGUGUUGUUCUUGGUCCGAAGGAGGAAACCUUCUGUAAUUUUUC
rnacentral:misc_RNA from 1 species